rnacentral:rRNA from 1 species
AUACGUAGGGAGCGAGCGUUGUCCGGAAUUACUGGGUGUAAAGGGAGCGUAGGCGGGAGUGCAAGUCAGAUGUGAAAUGCCGGGGCUCAACCCCGGAGCUGCAUUUGAAACUGUGGUUCUUGAGUGAGGUAGAGGUAAGCGGAAUUCCUAGUGUAGCGGUGAAAUGCGUAGAUAUUAGGAGGAACAUCGGUGGCGAAGGCGGCUUACUGGGCCUUUACUGACGCUGAGGCACGAAAGCGUGGGGAGCAAACAGGAUUAGAUACCCUGGUAGUCCACGCUGUAAACGAUGAUGACUAGGUGUGGGGGGACUGAACCCUUCCGUGCCGCAGUUAACACAAUAAGUCAUCCACCUGGGGAGUACGGCCGCAAGGUUGAAACUCAAAUGAAUUGGCGGGG